CGUGAGCGUGACGUCAUCACUGCUCGCGUAACAAAAAAAGCGAAAGUAAAAGUGCAGAUAGUCGUUACGCCAGUUUAACUGCAAGAAUCGAUUGUUUUUACAACACCGAGUAUCAUAGUGUUUAACAUGUACCUUUGUAAUGAUUGGACGUGUAGUUAGUUGUGAGAAAUUAUGGAUAAUUUUAAAGAGUCUGUAUGAAAUUAAUGCUGUUUAAGGUGAGUGCUCAGGUCUCGAGUCUUCCGCUUCAAAAUUUAAGGCCGCAUUACUACGCUGGGUAAGAGUCAGUGGUGAAGAUCAGAUUCUGUUUCAACUGUUCAGUUUCAUUAUGGAUGACACACAAACAUACCGAGAUGACAAGUAUUCUCCCGUAUGCAGAGUUCAGUUCAUCAGAAGAGAUCAGAACCAGAGCCCAGCUGUGUGUCUAUGAGGAGUGACGGGUCUAUGGCUCAUCCAGUGCAUUUCAAGAGUGGAGAUACACAGACUGAUCUCAGGUAUAACAUGAUUAUAUAAAAAGAUGGGUAACACUUUACAAAAAGGUUCCAUUAGUUAAUGUUGGUUACUGCAUUAAUAACAUUAACUAACAAUAAACAUUACAUCUGUUACA
ensembl:lncRNA